AUAGAUAAGACUGCUGCUGCACUUCUCAGAACUCUUUCCCAAAUGCUGCCUACUUUGCCAUUACAGGGGGCCUACAAGUCAUCAACAAUAUGCUAUUGUCCUGAGAAGGGAACCUGGACAGAACUUGAAGGAGAUGUAGCAGAACCCCUGGCAGGCCCUGCCUGUGCGACAGUAAUCUUGCCUGCCUGUGUACCCUACAACAAAUAGCCCCAGGAAACUCUGGAAGGAACAGCAUCACAUCCCAGGAAGCAGUGACAGGUGACGUCACUAUCCUAAUAGGAACUGUGCAUUUCUCAUGAUACAACUGCUGAAACCCACCUUUGGUUUCUGAUGAUUUACAAGUAACUACAAAAGAAAGAGACCUGUUAUGGAACAGAUACUGUGUCUGCAACUCAGAUCGUAUCCGACUUCCUGUGGUGAUGGACUCUUCCAUUUCAGACUGGUUUUAAUUUGUCCCAGCUUUACAGAAACUCCUCACAUGGAUCUUAACUUUCAAAGGGAGAAAGAUAAAAUACAGAAGACUGGCCCCAGAGAGACCUGAGAUCAGUAUUGUGCAUUGUACUCUACCUGCAUGUGAUCGAUGUUGAAGUUUUGGGGAUAUUUUGUACAUGAAUAAUUCAGAAUUUGACCCACCAAAAUACUUAACACUGCAUUACAGAAAUUCCCACUUGAUUCUGUAUUCCUAACCUUUGGCUACUUCACAGACUCCAUAAGCAACACAGUUACUGAAAACCAUAGAAGAUUAAAUAGGGGCAUUUUUGUUUCUAUACAUCCUCAUUUCAUGUACCUUCUGCCCUUAUAGUACCUCAUGGAAGAGUUAAGUUGUUGGGUCUUUCAGGAGUUGCUUUCUGCCCUGCAGGUUCUAGGAUAGCCAGAGUCCUAAUUCCCAUGUCCUGAAUUCUAUCUGGAAAUUAAAACAUACUAUGUCACUCUGAAGUUCAUGGAGGCUUAUGCUUUCUUUCUUUCUCUCUCUCUUUUUAGUGUUUAAGCAGUAAGCACACAUGCUAUUUGCCUCCAAAGAUAGGACUGACAAAUUCAGUCAUACACUAUUUCAUAGAUUCUGUUGGAUAACACAUCUGACCCAGACUUAAUCUAUGAUCAAAACUAAGAGAUUGCUUUUAGGAAUUCAGGGAUGAAAAGAAAAAAAUAAUUUCUUUCAAGGACAAUCCCAAUUAUCUUUGUUCCUAAAACACGAAACUUACCAGGUUAUAUAUAGUCUCUGACAGAAUACUCUUCCCUCCUCACCUGCAGCUGGAUGUAGACCCUGGACUUCAUCUCAUUAUUCCCUGCCUCAUCAUUUUUGGUUAGCACCAGAGAUUCCUGAACUCAGUCCAGCAAGCAGUUGCUACUUGUCCUUAGGAGCAUGGGUAAUUUAGGAGCAGAGGUCAGGGGAGCAUGACGUAGUCUCAGCGUGGCCAAUCAAAAGAACAAAACUGGUAGGAACACAAAUUUGACUUUCAAGCUCUCCUGAGCUUGAUCAACAACUGUUAGGAGUAAAUAAGAGCUUAAAAUAUUUUUUUAAUCACCCAGAGAUAUUGAAUCCUCCAAAAAAAAAUGUUACAUUCAAAACAAUAAGGGGAAGCCAGAUUAAAAACGCCUUGGUGAUAAGUUUUCAUUGCCAAGUGUGUCAAGAUGGAUGGGGAUACUGGAAUCCAAUGCCGUUUCUACAGUAAAGUGCAAUCUUCUUUGUUUUUGUAUUUAUUUGUAUGUUCAGAUCCAAAGGAUCAGUUGUAAAAAUAUAUAUAUAAAUAUACAUAUAUAUAUAUAUAUAUAUAUAUAUAUAUAUCUCCAGUGCAAUCAACUUUUUAUUUCUUUUUUUCUUAAAAACAUAUGAAUAUAUAGAAAGGAAGAAAAGUCACGGUAUUUUGUAGGAAACUCCCAGCUGACAUCAUGAACAGAACAAGGUCUGUUUCAGAACCUUUUAUUGUCAACUGUCAUCAUUUCUUCCUAAAGUCACAGUUUAUACAAUAAUAUUUGCUUUCCUUAGACUUCAUUUUAUUUUUUAUUUCUAGCCAAAAUAAAUAAAAAGCAUUUAUGAGAACUAUAAGUCAAACUUUCUGGAUUCAGAAAGAUAUAAACUACUAGAAAGUAAAAAAAAAAAAAGAUUAAAUAAAUCACAGAGAAUGUAAAUUUUGUACAGUAUUAGAAUGUGUAAAUGAAGCUUGCUUGGAAGGGGAAAACUUUAAAUAAAAACUUUAUGUACUAAUUCAACUGUCUGUAAUAUUUCUAUUCACAAAGCACA
rnacentral:lncRNA from 1 species